CCUCUUCCUGGUAGGGGUUGGGCAUGAGGUCCUGGUCCUUGUAAUGUACAGAGGCAGAAGGAAAGAGCUCUGGCCCUCUCAGCAUCAUGUCUUCAGUGCCCAAUAGUUUCCAGUCCAGACGUUCUAUACUCAAGCACUGGGACACAG